rnacentral:lncRNA from 1 species
CCAGAGUUAAAGCAUGAAGAUCAUUAAGUGUAUAUUCAAACAAAUAAAAAGAGUCUUGUGCAGAGUGACACCAGAGACGAGAAGUUGAAAACGAUUAGAUUAUCUAUUGUGUAGGGUAAGAAUACCAAAAAGGUAAGCUACAUAUCAAAGAUAAUACAAGAGUAACCCAAAAGCAAGCUUCACCUAGGGCCACCAGUUUUCUGCUUAGCCUUCUCGAUAAGGGGUUUCAACUGUUUUUUUUCCGCAAGAAUCUUUAGGAAGUUGAACAAAAAGGGUAUGUAAUUGUGCUUCCUUCUGAUAUUUUCAGUUCUCCACUUCUUGAGUUUUUCCUCUUCCAUCAAGAUUUUCUCUGUAGCACUCUCAAUCCCAG